rnacentral:snoRNA from 1 species
ACGCCCUGUGCCUUGCUCGGUCAAGUUUUAACUUUCUUGAUCUUGAGCUGGAUACUUUUUUUUUCAUAUACAUUUAUUUAAAAAAUCGUAAUGGGCAAUAAGAAACUCUUAAAAGUUGGUAUUUUUGAGUACGAUUAUACCAUGGUCUAACCCAAUGCUAUACAUCGUAAUUAUCUGACUUUACAUCU